UACGGAGGGUGCAAGCGUUAUCCGGAUUCACUGGGUUUAAAGGGUGCGUAGGCGGGCAGGUAAGUCAGUGGUGAAAUCCCCGAGCUCAACUUGGGAACUGCCGUUGAUACUAUCUGUCUUGAAUACUUUGGAGGUAAGCGGAAUAUGUCAUGUAGCGGUGAAAUGCUUAGAUAUGACAUAGAACACCAAUGGCGAAGGCAGCUACGCUGGGACGUUACUGACGCUGAGGAGCGAAAGCGUGGGGAGCAAACAGG
rnacentral:rRNA from 1 species